ACAUGAUUCCCCUAGUAACGGCGAGUGAAGAGGGAAAAGCUCAUACCCUAAAUCNAUAUGAAUAAUAUUGAAUUGUAGUUUAUAAACAUUGAGUUAAAAUAAUUAAAAUUAUAUUAAGUUUACUGGAAAGUAACUUCAUAGAGGGUGAUAAACCCGUAAUUAAUAUAAUUUUUUUAAUUUAAUACUCUUUAUUACAGAGUCAGAUUGUUUGGGAAUGCAAUCUAAAAUUGGAGGUAAAUUUCUCCUAAAGCUAAAUAUAUGCAAGAGACCGAUAGCGAACAAGUACCGUGAGGGAAAGAUGAAAAGAACCUUGAAAAGGGGGUUAAAUAGUACGUGAAAUUGUUAAAAGGAAAGCAAUUGAAGCUUUCAAUAAAUUAGUAAAUUCAUAUUACUUUUAAGUAAUAGUAUUUUUAUUAAUUUUGUCAAUAAUGAUUUAAAAUAAAUUAAAAAUUUAAUUUCAAAGUAGAUAGAUAAUUAUUUAUUUAUCACUUAUAGGCUAUUAAAAAUAAUUUAUUUUGGAUUAUAUAUACAAAUCAUUAUUAAGGUUAGUUAGUGAUUACUGUUAAUUAAAUAAUGAAAUUUUUUAAAUAUUAUUGUUUAAUUGAUAUAUUUAUCUAAAUUAAUUACUUAUGAUUUUUAUUGACUAAAUGGCUUUAAUUAUCCCGUCUUGAAACACGGACCAAGGAGUCUAACAUACCUGCGAGUAUUAGGGUUUUUAAACCCAAACUGCAUAAUGAAAGUGAAUUAAAGGUAUGAAUUAUUAAUUUAAUGCAAUACCGACCGAUCUUAAUUAAAUUAUUUUUGUAAGAUUUGAGUAAGAGCAAUUAUGUUAGGACCCGAAAGAUGGUGAACUAUGCCUGAAUAGAAUGAAGCCAGGUGAAAACCUGGUGGAGGUUCGUGCACGGUUCUGACGUGCAAAUCGAUCGUUGAAUUUGGGUAUAGGGGGCGAAAGACUA
rnacentral:rRNA from 2 species